rnacentral:rRNA from 1 species
CCUACGUGUCGCAGCAGUGGGGAAUAUUGGACAAUGGGCGAAAGCCUGAUCCAGCCAUGCCGCGUGUGUGAAGAAGGCCUUCGGGUUGUAAAGCACUUUCAGUGGGGAAGAAAGCCUUGGGGCUAAUACCCUCGAGGAAGGACAUCACCCACAGAAGAAGCACCGGCUAACUCCGUGCCAGCAGCCGCGGUAAUACGGAGGGUGCGAGCGUUAAUCGGAAUUACUGGGCGUAAAGCGCGCGUAGGCGGUCUGAUAAGCCGGUUGUGAAAGCCCCGGGCUCAACCUGGGAACGGCAUCCGGAACUGUCAGGCUAGAGUGCAGGAGAGGAAGGUAGAAUUCCCGGUGUAGCGGUGAAAUGCGUAGAGAUCGGGAGGAAUAGCAGUGGCGAAGGCGGCCUUCUGGACUGACACUGACGCUGAGGUGCGAAAGCGUGGGUAGCAAACAGGAUUAGAUACCCUGUAGUC